CCUACGGGGGGCUGCAGUGAGGAAUAUUUGUCAAUGGACGCAAGUCUGAACCAGCCAUGCCGCGUGCAGGAAGACGGCUCUAUGAGUUGUAAACUGCUUUUGUACGAGGGUAAACGCAGAUACGCGUAUCUGUCUGAAAGUAUCGUACGAAUAAUGAUCGGCUAACUCCGUGCCAGCAGCCGCGGUAAGACGGAGGAUUCAAGCGUUAUCCGGAUUCAUUGGGUUUAAAGGGUGCGUUGGCGGUCGUAUAAGUUAGGGGUGAAAUCCCGAGGCUCAACUUCGGAAUUGCCUAUGAUACUGUGCGGCUAGAGAGUAGUUGCGGUAGGCGGAAUGUAUGGUGUAGCGGUGAAAUGCUUAGAGAUCAGACAGAACACCGAUGGCGAAGGCAGCUUACCAAGCUACUUCUGACGUUGAGGCACGAAAGCGUGGGGAGCAAACAGGAUUAGAUACCCGAGUAGUC
rnacentral:rRNA from 1 species